AUGUACUUCCACCCUCUUGGAUCUUGCCGCUGGCCCUACGCCAUCCCCUCUUCCACCCACUUUACUUUCUCUCCAUGUAACUAUUGUGACUCAACUUUAGUGCUGUACUGCAAAGCAGACUUUGAAAGUUGUGCCUGGUGGGCAAACAGAUCAUGCGCUGACACUGUCUCUCUUUCUCGAGUACAUUACCAGAUUAGUGACAACUGCAAAAAUGACACCUCUUCAAUUCGCUGCAUCACCGCCAUAAUGGCAAUGCAGAUUUAUUCACAACCGCCAUAA